rnacentral:pre_miRNA from 9 species
UCUCGAUAGCGUAAAAGUUAACUCAUAUUUGUAUGGAAUGGGAUUAUUUGCCUAUGUUUGCCGCUAGGGGCGCUGUUCCAACUGCAUACAAAAUUGGGCUAACUUUUACGCUAUCGA